UCUUGUGUUUCAUUUCAAAGUAUUCCUUGCUGACAAACAAAGCAAUUGUUGCUUAGGAUUUGCCGUGUAAAAAGAAAAAAACAAAACUUGCCAGCAGUCAAACUUCAGUUCUCAUCUGUUGUGUCUGACGACUCUCAAUGGAGAAUACAAUGACUAGUCAAACUGCUACAUACUACUGGGCAGAACAAUAAGAAUAUGUAAAGUACAAGAUGAAGAGAUGGAGACUUGCCGUAAACAAAAUGUGCUACUAAUGGGACACAGCAAGGAAAAGAGGGAAAGGGAAAAACCUGCUUGAUGAAAUGGCACAGAUCAGGGUGUUGAGCUAAAAGAUUAAAGCAGACUGCCCCAAUGAAUAUGUGUGGAACUGAGAAUCACUAUGCAGAGAAUGAAAGGAUGACACCCAGAUCCACAAGACUGAGAAGGCCACCUCAAAGACUAAUAGAACAUUCUUAAUCUGAAACCAGUAUAACUGGCUUGGCAGUCACAGAAGCAUUCUAUUUAUCGGGAAAAAGCCAACAAAAAAGGGGAACAAGAAGAUUCCGGUGGCAACAUCUGCUAAUAGAAGACUACAGUGGCCAUCCUGAUCUCAUCCACGGGACAUAUUUGAUUGUUCUUUACAAUACUGGAUGGUCUCCAAGAACACAGUUUAGAGUCAUACUGAAAUAAUCAGAAAUGAAGUGUCCUAGUGUAAUAAUAAUAAUACCUCAUAUAUUUACUUUGAGAUAUACCGAUUAAAAGAAAGUAAUGAAUAAUCACACUGAAGUCAAUAGAAUUAUUGUGGUGUGAAGCCAACAUAAAUUAAAGGAGAAUCAGAACCACUGAGUAUGUGAAACAUUGUUUUCAGAUUCCUUUACAUUCUCUAACCUCACUGAUGUGCAGUGUUUUGUUUGCAGUUUUACAAAAGUGAGUCCAAAUUCUGUUCACAGUUGCAUCAGUGAAAAUCCAUAGCAGUUCCACUGACAUGUGUGGAGUUAAUACAGAUUUAUGUCAUUGUAACUGAGGGCAGGAUCUAGCCCAAAGUGUUUGAUGAGUAACUGCAUUAUUAGUCAGUCACACAUCUUUUUUGUUUCUCUGAACCACGGAAUGAGGAGGGUUGCAAGAAUAUAAGUCAUACACAGAGUUUGAAGAGACAAACAUUUUUUUAGCCACAUAUGAAAGACUUUAUUAAAAGUUUAAUGCAGAUGCAGUU